rnacentral:rRNA from 1 species
AGAGUUUGAUCAUGGCUCAGAUGGAACGUGGCGGCAGGCUUUAACACAUGCAAGUCGGAACGGUAACAGGGAAGGAAGCUUGCUUUUCUUUGCUGACGAGUGGCGGACGGGUGAGGUAAUGCUUGGGAAUCUGGCUUAUGGAGGGGGAUAACUACGGGAAACUGUAGCUAAUACCGCGUAAUAUCUUCGGAUUAAAGGGUGGGACCGUAAGGCCACCUGCCAUAAGAUGAGCCCAAGUGGGAUUAGGUAGUUGGUGGGGUAAAGGCCUACCAAGCCGACGAUCUCUAGCUGGUCUGAGAGGAUGACCAGCCACACUGGAACUGAGACACGGUCCAGACUCCUACGGGAGGCAGCAGUGGGGAAUAUUGCACAAUGGGGGGAACCCUGAUGCAGCCAUGCCGCGUGAAUGAAGAAGGCCUUCGGGUUGUAAAGUUCUUUCGGUGAUGAGGAAGGCGGCUGUUUUAAUAGAACAAUCGAUUGACGUCAGUCACAGAAGAAGCACCGGCUAACUCCGUGCCAGCAGCCGCGGUAAUACGGAGGGUGCGAGCGUUAAUCGGAAUGACUGAGCGUAAAGGGCACGCAGGCGGUGACUUAAGUGAGAUGUGAAAGCCCCGGGCUUAACCUGGGAAUUGCAUUUCAUACUGGGUCGCUAGAGUAUUUUAGGGAGGGGUAGAAUUCCACGUGUAGCGGUGAAAUGCGUAGAGAUGUGGAGGAAUACCGAAGGCGAAGGCAGCCCCUUGGGAAUAUACUGACGCUCAUGUGCGAAAGCGUGGGGAGCAAACAGGAUUAGAUACCCUGGUAGUCCACGCUGUAAACGCUGUCGAUUUGGGGAUUGGGCUUUAAGCUUGGUGCCCGUAGCU